UACGAAGGGACCUAGCGUAGUUCGGAAUUACUGGGCUUAAAGAGCUCGUAGGUGGUUAGAAAAGUUGGUGGUGAAAUCCCAAGGCUUAACCUUGGAACUGCCAUCAAAACUUUUUAACUAGAGUAUGAUAGAGGUAAGUGGAAUUUCUAGUGUAGAGGUGAAAUUCGUAGAUAUUAGAAAGAACACCGAUUGCGAAGGCAACUUUCUGGAUCAUUACUGACACUGAGGAGCGAAAGCAUGGGUAGCGAAGAGG
rnacentral:rRNA from 1 species